rnacentral:rRNA from 1 species
CCCUACGGGAGGCAGCAGUGGGGAAUUUUGGACAAUGGGGCAACCCUAAUCCAGCCCAGCCCCGGAAGGAAGAAGGCCCUCGGGUUUAAAGUCUUUGGCGGGAGGGAAUAAACGCUCUAAUCCCCGGAAAGACGGUACCGCAGAGAGCACACGCUGCUCG